rnacentral:rRNA from 1 species
CCUACGGGAGGCAGCAGUGAGGAAUAUUGGUCAAUGGGCGUAAGCCUGAACCAGCCAAGUCGCGUGAGGGAUGAAGGUUCUAUGGAUCGUAAACCUCUUUUAUAAGGGAAUAAAGUGCGGGACGUGUCCCGUUUUGUAUGUACCUUAUGAAUAAGGAUCGGCUAACUCCGUGCCAGCAGCCGCGGUAAUACGGAGGAUCCGAGCGUUAUCCGGAUUUAUUGGGUUUAAAGGGUGUGUAGGCGGACUGGAAAGUCAGCGGUAAAAUCGAGAGGCUCAACCUCUUUCCGCCGUUGAAACUGUCGGUCUUGAGUGGGCGAGAAGUAGGCGGAAUGCGUGGUGUAGCGGUGAAAUGCAUAGAUAUCACGCAGAACUCCGAUUGCGAAGGCAGCAUACCGGCGCCCGACUGACGCUGAGGCACGAAAGCGUGGGUAUCGAACAGGAUUAGAUACCCGGGUAGUC